UGGCAGCAGUGGGGAAUUUUGGACAAUGGGCGCAAGCCUGAUCCAGCCAUGCCGCGUGAGUGAAGAAGGCCUUCGGGUUGUAAAGCUCUUUCAGCUGGAAAGAAACGGUGAGCUCUAACAUAGCUUGCUAAUGACGGUACCAGCAGAAGAAGCACCGGCUAACUACGUGCCAGCAGCCGCGGUAAUACGUAGGGUGCGAGCGUUAAUCGGAAUUACUGGGCGUAAAGCGUGCGCAGGCGGAUUGUUAAGCAAGAUGUGAAAUCCCCGGGCUUAACCUGGGAAUGGCAUUUUGAACUGGCAGUCUAGAGUGUGUCAGAGGGGGGUGGAAUUCCACGUGUAGCAGUGAAAUGCGUAGAGAUGUGGAGGAACACCGAUGGCGAAGGCAGCCCCCUGGGAUAACACUGACGCUCAUGUACGAAAGCGUGGGUAGCAAACAGGAUUAGAUACCCGAGUAGUC
rnacentral:rRNA from 1 species